rnacentral:rRNA from 1 species
AGCGAACGCUGGCGGCAGGCCUAACACAUGCAAGUCGAACGAAGCCUUCGGGCUUAGUGGCGGACGGGUGAGUAACACGUGGGAACGUACCUUUUGGUUCGGAACAACUCAGGGAAACUUGAGCUAAUACCGGAUGAGCCCUUAGGGGGAAAGAUUUAUCGCCGAAAGAGCGGCCCGCGUUAGAUUAGCUAGUUGGUGAGGUAAAGGCGCACCAAGGCUACGAUCUAUAGCUGGUCUGAGAGGAUGAUCAGCCACACUGGGACUGAGACACGGCCCAGACUCCUACGGGAGGCAGCAGUGGGGAAUCUUGCGCAAUGGGCGAAAGCCUGACGCAGCCAUGCCGCGUGAAUGAUGAAGGUCUUAGGAUUGUAAAAUUCUUUUACCAGGGACGAUAAUGACGGUACCUGGAGAAAAAGCCCCGGCUAACUUCGUGCCAGCAGCCGCAGUAAAAC